rnacentral:rRNA from 1 species
CCUACGGGGGGCAGCAGUGGGGGAUAUUGCACAAUGGGGGGAACCCUGAUGCAGCGACGCCGCGUGGGUGAAGAAGCGCCUCGGCGCGUAAAGCCCUGUCAGCAGGGAAGAAAAUGACGGUACCUGAAGAAGAAGCCCCGGCUAAAUACGUGCCAGCAGCCGCGGUAAUACGUAUGGUGCAAGCGUUAUCCGGAUUUACUGGGUGUAAAGGGAGCGCAGGCGGCGCGUUAAGCCUGGUGUGAAAGUCCGCGGCCCAACCGCGGGACUGCAUUGGGAACUGGCGCGCUGGAGUGCCGGAGGGGUAGGCGGAAUUCCUAGUGUAGCGGUGAAAUGCGUAGAUAUUAGGAGGAACACCAGUGGCGAAGGCGGCCUACUGGACGGUGACUGACGCUGAGGCUCGAAAGCGUGGGGAGCAAACAGGAUUAGAUACCCCAGUAGUC